rnacentral:tRNA from 1 species
AGUCUUAUAUUCAUCGUGAUAUUAGAUUGCAAAUCUAAAGGGGUAAGUUUAUAAGACUUACUAAGGCUU